rnacentral:rRNA from 1 species
UACGAAGGGGGCUAGCGUUGCUCGGAAUCACUGGGCGUAAAGCGCACGUAGGCGGAUUGCUAAGUCAGGGGUGAAAUCCUGGAGCUCAACUCCAGAACUGCCUUUGAUACUGAAGAUCUUGAGUUCGGGAGAGGUGAGUGGAACUGCGAGUGUAGAGGUGAAAUUCGUAGAUAUUCGGAAGAACACCAGUGGCGAAGGCGGCUCACUGGACCGGCAUUGACGCUGAGGUGCGAAAGCGUGGGGAGCAAACAGG